CCUCUUCCUGUAAAUUUCGACUGGAGGGCCCAUCAUGCGGUUUCACACGUUAAGGAUCAAGGACAAUGUGGCAGCGGCUAUAUCUUCAGUGCUAUUGGAAACAUUGAAGGGCAGUACGCUAUCAAACAUCACCAAUGCUUAGCCCUUUCCGAAGGUCAGGCUCUUGAUUGUCUUGAAAGUGGGGGUUGCGAUGGAGGGUGGCCGGAUAAGAUAAUGAGGGAUUUAUAUUUUACAAAUUUAGAGAAAGAAGAAGACUAUCCGUAUCUUCCAAGGAAGAGCCUGUGUAAAGACGAC